rnacentral:lncRNA from 1 species
CUGGGGUCAAAAGGCUCAACACUGCAUGUAUUCCCAUGAUUCCCUGGGAAAAGUCCACAUUACCAACAGGAAACAGAUCAGUGGCUACCUACAGUUUAGGGAUGAAGCGGUAUUUAGUUGUGGGAAACCCAGGAGAUUUUGUUUAAGAUUAUAGAACCAAUCUGCGAGGCUCUGUGAGGAGAGAAACAUGAUUUUACACACAGUUGUCAAACCAGGAGAAUUUCCAAGCACAAAGAGUGAACUUUAAUGCAUGCAAAUUGGUUUUCUUCAUCAAGGAAGAGGCUAAGAGACCAACCAAGGAGUGCAGAUCCUCAUGCUUAUGCAACAGUGUCAUCUGGCUACUGUGAUCUACUUGGGUGAUCGAAACAACCGAUGGACGUGUAGAUUUCUACUGGCCUGUGAACUUCUUGGGGCUAGUACCACGUGUGUUUUAUUCAAUGCUUAAAAUGCAAAACAGCUCCGUCCUCAGACCUGGCAGCCAGCGGAUUUGAGUUUCUUCAGUUGAGAAAAGAGUUGCAUCGAAACCUCUCCAUCGGGCUGGCGAGAUGGCUCAGUGGGUAAGAGCACUGACUGCUCUUUCAAAGGUCCUGAGUUCAAAUCCCAGCAACCACAUGGUGGCUCACAACCACCCAUAAUGAGAUCUGAUACCCUCUUCUGGUGCAUCUGAAGCCAACUACAGUGUACUUAUUUAUAAUAAAUAAAUCUUAAAAAAAAC